rnacentral:lncRNA from 1 species
GCGGGGGCCGUGCCGCCGCAGCGCGGCCGUUAACCGCUUCGGCGCGGUCCUUGGUCCCGCCCUUGAGGCGCUGCCUGAGGGGCGGCCGGGCGGGCCGGUUCCCGCCGUGACGGGACGCGGAAGGGGCUCCAACUCCGCGUUCUGCCCCGUCUGGGGAGUUCUGGCUCUCUGAGGGGAGCGUUUCGCCCAGGACGUGAAAGCGUGAGAAACGGAGGCAGCACCGCGGGCCUCGACGCAGAGGAAGGUAAAGCCUGAAGAACCAGUCCCAGCCUCGGGCCAGCUGUGAUGUGACCACGUCGAUAAAUCAGGGCUCGGAGGAAGAAAACCAUCACCAUCUACAGUACGGGUAACAGAAGAACAAAGAGCUGACAUUGCAGCGAGGAUCCUUCAGGAAGCUUGUGGGAAAGCACCUUUCGCCUCUGACGUAGCAUGUGAAAAUACAGCUGGGGAAAGACUGAAGAAAAAACAGACAAAGGAAGAAGUCAGGCUUCUGUGUUGGUGUAAAACACACUCACAUACUCAAGGUCAUUGAUUCUGUUAAAAGAAAAUCUGCUUCUCCACUCUGCUCAAAUCAUCUACUGGCUAGAAACUAGCAAUAUUGCCCUUAGACUUCAGGUAUUAUUUAAUUUUUGUUAGAACGAUGCCGUUUUUAAUUAAAGGCAAAAUGCAUUAUUUCAUAAUUAACUUGGCACAUACAAGAAGAAUGACAAAGUUUCUUGAACUGCAUGCAUACAAUAAACAAACUGCUUUGUGGGGAAAAAAAGCACCAGGAGAAAUGGAAGUCAUCCAAAAGAAUUAAAUUCACCGAUUUGUUUCCGAUCUGAUGAUUCUAGUGUCUCUUUUUCAGGAUCUAAAAAAAACUUUAUACAACCUGGAGCCUCCUGCAUCUCUACCCUCCCUGCAAAGCUUUUUUCCUCCUAUUUCGAAGGUUACAUUACACAGUAUGCUUGCAGAAGAAUGAACUAGCGGACGUAAAACAGUGAAAGCUUCUAUCUUUGUGAAGAAUGUGAAAGUAAAACAAGGUCAAUAUCAACAUAGAGACAUCCGUUACGCUUGCCUAGUGUUUGUUGUGAGUGUAAGACAACCAAAGACAGCUUAAUUUGUACUUCUUUUUCCCCUAAAGUUAGCAUUUUCUUCUUUGGCUUUCUUUGCCAGUAUUAAACAUCUUGACUACCUCCUCCAACCCUGCCUUUCAUUUCAUUUAACUCCCCCAGUGUUAAGUUGUGAAUACAUCUGUCCAGAAACAUGGAAGUAUACAGAGCCUCGUGGUUUCUGUUUGAAGUUUAAAUAAUUGGUACCUAUUACAUACAAAGAAUUGAAUGAUAACUUCUCUGGCAAGAUGUCUAUUUGACAAGCAAGAACUAAUAAGCCAGAUAAAUGGUAACGUCCAAAAUAGUUCACAGAAAGAAUAACUGCUUAUAGACGGCCACACUACUGAAACUUAAAUCUUAGAAUACGAUUUGUCAGUCAGCAUAAGCAACAAGGUUCACAUAAACACAGCUACAGAGAUAGCUAGCAGCAGUGCCACUGCAUUAUUUUACACAUUAAACUUCUAUUUGCACAUCUAAAUUGGCUGAAGACCUGCAUGCUCUUAAUCACUGUUUCUAAGCAGCAAAGCCAAACCUUCUCCUGUGAAAACAUUCACCAAAGACAGUAUCAACUCAAUAUCAGUAUCAACGCCUCCCCAGCCACUACCACAAAAGCAACAUUCUUAUUCCUGAACCACAUUUUAAGAAACUGCUUUAAACCUUGUUCUCCUAGAAGUCUGUAAGUGGGAUCAAAAUGAAGAUCUCAGUGUUUGCUAAGUACUACGGUUAUUUUAUGUAUCAAAUGUAAGAGAAAAAACACAUAUUACUAAGCUACAAGCAUUGCUAGAAAGCAACCCAUGCAGUUUUAACUCUGAUUUCUUUCUUUAAAGAAUGUCCAAAACGAAUUUUGCAAAAUUAGUUGUGCACACGCUAAACCCGCAGUUGUUAGCUUUUCAUAUUAAAGAACUAACAAACUUGUACUUACGUGGAAUGUAAGAGAUCAUAACCAGGAUCAGGAAUGUAUAAUAGUCAAAAGAAAAGUUGUACUUAUUAGGUAAACUAAUGGAAUACAAGCCAGACUGCCUGACGAAGGGUAAUGCAGCAUAUAUUGUGAGUAAUUCCCCAGAGACUCCCAUUGGAUACAAUAUUAUAAACAAAGUGUACCUACAAGAAAACAUUUAAGAAAAGGAUUAAAAGUUGUGACAAAGUACUUAAGUACCUCUAUGGAUAUUCAACUUCUAAAUCCUUAACUUUUAUUUCAUUUGAGCAUGGCAGUUUGUGAACAUCAAUGCAAGACAAAAUAUUGACAUCAACAACCAGUUUUGAAUUAUUUGAGGACAAUCUUUGAGAACCUGAAUGGUAUCUUUACAAUAAUUCCCCCACCCCCAUACUUCAUUGCUUUGACUGCCAAACUCUUUGAUUGAGGACAUCAAACUCCUUAGUUGAGAACAUAUUAUUAAA